GACGAACGCUGGCGGCGUGCUUAACACAUGCAAGUCGAGCGGUAAGGCCUCUUCGGGGGUACACGAGCGGCGAACGGGUGAGUAACACGUGGGUGACCUGCCCUCAGCUCUGGGAUAAGCCUGGGAAACUGGGUCUAAUACUGGAUAUUCACUUCCUAUCGCAUGGUGGGGUGGUGGAAAGUUUUUUCGGCUGGGGAGUGGGCCCGCGGCCUAUCAGCUUGUUGGGUGGGGUGAUGGCCACCAAGGCGGACGACGGGUAGCCGGCCUGAGAGGGCGUCCGGCCACACUGGGACUGAGACACGGUCCAGACACC
rnacentral:rRNA from 1 species